rnacentral:rRNA from 1 species
AACCGUGACCCAAUCACUUUGGUUGCACAUGAUAUCGUCGGAUCUUGGAAGCUCAGUAGAGUUGAGCUUGGUUAAUACUUGGAUGGGUGACUCCCUGAUAACACCAAGUUAUGUAGGUUU